rnacentral:rRNA from 1 species
AGGGAUUGCCCUAGUAACGGCGAGUGAAGCGGCAACAGCUCAAAUUUGAAAUCUGGCCCCUUUGGGGUCCGAGUUGUAAUUUGCAGAGGGUGCUUUGGCGUUGGCGGCGGUCUAAGUUCCUUGGAACAGGACAUCGCAGAGGGUGAGAAUCCCGUAUGUGGUCGCAUGCCUUCGCCGUGUAAAGCCCCUUCGACGAGUCGAGUUGUUUGGGAAUGCAGCUCUAAAUGGGAGGUAAAUUUCUUCUAAAGCUAAAUACCGGCCAGAGACCGAUAGCGCACAAGUAGAGUGAUCGAAAGAUGAAAAGCACUUUGGAAAGAGAGUCAAACAGCACGUGAAAUUGUUGAAAGGGAAGCGCUUGCAGCCAGACUUGCCUGUAGUUGCUCACCCGGGCUCCUGCCCGGGGCACUCUUCUGCAGGCAGGCCAGCAUCAGUUUGGGCGGUCGGAUAAAGGGCUCUGACACGUACUUCCCCUCGGGGUUGACAUACAGGGGAGCCGCAAUGCGACCAGCCCGGACUGAGGUCCGCGCAUCUGCUAGGAUGCUGGCGUAAUGGCUGUAAGCGGCCCGUCUUGAAACACGGACCAAGGAGUCUAACAUCUAUGCGAGUGUUUGGGUGUCAAGCCCGAGCGCGUAAUGAAAGUGAACGGAGGUGGGAGCCCCUCGGGGUGCACCAUCGACCGAUCCUGAUGUCUUCGGAUGGAUUUGAGUAAGAGCAUAGCUGUUGGGACCCGAAAGAUGGUGAACUAUGCUUGAAUAGGGUGAAGCCAGAGGAAACUCUGGUGGAGGCUCGCAGCGGUUCUGACGUGCAAAUCGAUCGUCAAAUUUGGGCAUAGGGGCGAAAGACUAAUCGAACUAUCUAGUA